UCGCUAAACUUUGGAGUUCUUUUGUCAAUAUCUCAAUUUUCUCAUUGCAGGUGCGCCAAGUAAUUGCAACUGAAACUGAAACUUGGCAAAGUUGCCAACGAAACGAAUUGCAACUACAAUUUUCUAGUAAGAACAGGCGAAUGGGGAGAGACACACACGCAAGCGAACAGGAUAUGGGGAGGACAGGACAACGCAUUUCGAUGCAAGUCAUUGCGGCUAAAUUAAAAGAAAUUGACGCUACUUGGUGGAAGGGCGCAGCAGCAGCUACACAAGCAGAAGAAAAUGGGGAUAAAAAUAAAGCAGAUGAAGAUAAAGAUUGGAUAGGCGGGCCAGGAGGUAGAAGUUAGCCCAGCCAACAGAAGGCGAGUGUCGGAAGGCAGAAGUAGUAACGUUGACAACAGCACACAAACAGGAUGCCAAAGAAUGCUGCUGCAUCUAAUGUUGGUUUUAAUUAAAAUCUUUAAGCUAUUCCCUUGAUUAUUAAACAUAUUAAGAUGGAAAAUAAGUA